GCCCUUAGAGUUUGAUCCUGGCUCAGAAUGAACGCUGGCGGCAGUGCCUAACACAUGCAAGUCGGACGGAAACGACGGGAGCUUGCUCCUGGGCGUCGAGUGGCGGACGGGUGAGUAAGGCAUGGGAAUCUGCCCUUUAGUUGGGGAUACCGUAUGGAAACGUACGUUAAUACCGAAUGAGAUCUACGGAUGAAAGGUGGCCUCUACUUGUAAGCUAUCGCUAAAGGAUGAGCCCAUGUUANAUUAGCUAGUUGGUAAGGUAAUGGCUUACCAAGGCGACGAUCUAUANCUGGUUUGAGAGGAUGAUCAGCCACACUGGGACUGAGACACGGCCCACACUCCUACGGGAGGCAGCAGUGGGGAAUAUUGCACAAUGGAGGAAACUCUGAUGCAGCCAUGCCGCGUGUGUGAAGAAGGCCCGAGGGUUGUAAAGCACUUUUAGUGAGGAGGAAAGGUUAGUAGUUAAUACCUGCUAGCUGUGACGUUACUCACAGAAAAAGCACCGGCUAACUCUGUGCCANCAGCCGCGGUAAUACAGAGGGUGCAAGCGUUAUUCGGAAUUACUGGGCGUAAAGCGCGCGUA
rnacentral:rRNA from 1 species